UACGAAGGGUGCAAGCGUUACUCGGAAUUACUGGGCGUAAAGCGUGCGUAGGUGGUUGUUUAAGUCUGUUGUGAAAGCCCUGGGCUCAACCUGGGAAUUGCAGUGGAUACUGGGCGACUAGAGUGUGGUAGAGGGUAGUGGAAUUCCUGGUGUAGCAGUGAAAUGCGUAGAGAUCAGGAGGAACAUCCAUGGCGAAGGCAGCUACCUGGACCAACACUGACGCUCAUGCACGAAAGCGUGGGGAGCAAACAGG
rnacentral:rRNA from 1 species